AUUGAACGCUGGCGGCAUGCCUUACACAUGCAAGUCGAACGGCAGCACGGAGCUUGCUCUGGUGGCGAGUGGCGAACGGGUGAGUAAUAUAUCGGAACGUACCCUAGAGUGGGGGAUAACGUAGCGAAAGUUACGCUAAUACCGCAUACGAUCUAAGGAUGAAAGUGGGGGAUCGCAAGACCUCAUGCUCGUGGAGCGGCCGAUAUCUGAUUAGCUAGUUGGUAGGGUAAAAGCCUACCAAGGCAUCGAUCAGUAGCUGGUCUGAGAGGACGACCAGCCACACUGGAACUGAGACACGGUCCAGACUCCUACGGGAGGCAGCAGUGGGGAAUUUUGGACAAUGGGCGAAAGCCUGAUCCAGCAAUGCCGCGUGAGUGAAGAAGGCCUUCGGGUUGUAAAGCUCUUUUGUCAGGGAAGAAACGGUGAGAGCUAAUAUCUCUUGCUAAUGACGGUACCUGAAGAAUAAGCACCGGCUAACUACGUGCCAGCAGCCGCGGUAAUACGUAGGGUGCAAGCGUUAAUCGGAAUUACUGGGCGUAAAGCGUGCGCAGGCGGUUUUGUAAGUCUGAUGUGAAAUCCCCGGGCUCAACCUGGGAAUUGCAUUGGAGACUGCAAGGCUAGAAUCUGGCAGAGGGGGGUAGAAUUCCACGUGUAGCAGUGAAAUGCGUAGAUAUGUGGAGGAACACCGAUGGCGAAGGCAGCCCCCUGGGUCAAGAUUGACGCUCAUGCACGAAAGCGUGGGGAGCAAACAGGAUUAGAUACCCUGGUAGUCCACGCCCUAAACGAUGUCUACUAGUUGUCGGGUCUUAAUUGACUUGGUAACGCAGCUAACGCGUGAAGUAGACCGCCUGGGGAGUACGGUCGCAAGAUUAAAACUCAAAGGAAUUGACGGGGACCCGCACAAGCGGUGGAUGAUGUGGAUUAAUUCGAUGCAACGCGAAAAACCUUACCUACCCUUGACAUGGCUGGAAUCCCGGAGAGAUUUGGGAGUGCUCGAAAGAGAACCAGUACACAGGUGCUGCAUGGCUGUCGUCAGCUCGUGUCGUGAGAUGUUGGGUUAAGUCCCGCAACGAGCGCAACCCUUGUCAUUAGCUGCUACGAAAGGGCACUCUAAUGAGACUGCCGGUGACAAACCGGAGGAAGGUGGGGAUGACGUCAAGUCCUCAUGGCCCUUAUGGGUAGGGCUUCACACGUCAUACAAUGGUACAUACAGAGCGCCGCCAACCCGCGAGGGGGAGCUAAUCGCAGAAAGUGUAUCGUAGUCCGGAUUGUAGUCUGCAACUCGACUGCAUGAAGUUGGAAUCGCUAGUAAUCGCGGAUCAGCAUGUCGCGGUGAAUACGUUCCCGGGUCU
rnacentral:rRNA from 1 species